CGGGAUUCACAGCAACACCUCCCUGCUGUAUGCUACCAGAAAAUGCCGCAGAACUUUCAUGUGCUCCCUUUCUGACAACACCUCCAGCUGGGGUAUGUACAGACACUGUCACGAAAGUGGAGAGCUGCAUGGCCUACACAUGUGUGAUAGGGGCAUGGGUGCCAACAGGAUUCACAGCAACACCUCCCUGCUGUGUGCUACCAGAAAAUGCCGCAGAACUUUCAUGUGCUCCCUUUCUGACAACACCUCCAGCUGGGGUAUGUACAGACACUGUCACGAAAGUGGAGAGCUGCAUGGCCUACACAUGUGUGAUAGGGGCAUGGGUGCCAACGGGAUUCACAGCAACACCUCCCUGCUGUAUGCUACCAGAAAAUGCCGCAGAACUUUCAUGUGCUCCCUUUCUGACAACACCUCCAGCUGGGGUAUGUACAGACACUGUCACGAAAGUGGAGAGCUGCAUGGCCUACACAUGUGUGAUAGGGGCAUGGGU